rnacentral:rRNA from 1 species
UACGGGGGGGGCAAGCGUUGUUCGGAAUUACUGGGCGUAAAGGCUCGUAGGCGGCCAACUAAGUCAGACGUGAAAUCCCUCGGCUUAACCGGGGAACUGCGUCUGAUACUGGAUGGCUUGAGUUUGGGAGAGGGAUGCGGAAUUCCAGGUGUAGCGGUGAAAAUGCGUAGAUAUCUGGAGGAACACCGGUGGCGAAGGCGGCAUCCUGGACCAACACUGACGCUGAGGAGCGAAAGCCAGGGGAGCCAAAGCGGG